AGAAGUAUCAGGAGCUCUUUCAAGAAAUUAGAUGACCCAUCACCACUACCUUCAUCCAAACAGACUAUUUAAGGCUUUGACUGCCAUCUGUCAGUCAGAUGCAGAUCCAGUUCUCUGGGCAGCCCCGUCUGGUGUUGGACUCAUCUCUGCGGGCUGGCUCUUCCUUUCUGACACACUCUGCUGCAGCCGCUCUGGCAACAUCUCUUUCCCUGGAGACAGGAAUCCUUCCAAGGUUUAAGAUGUUGUGUUUUUUACAAAUUGAAUGUUUGUGGACACCCUACAUGGAGCAAGUCUAUCGGCACCAGUUUUCCAACAGC